AGCCGGAACCCUGGCAUCUAUUCCCACAUGGGAGAACCAUUGGAGUGAAAUGAAGCAUGGAUUUUGAACAAUAGGGACAUUUGGAUGAUUUGUUUUGGGCUCUCCACUAUGUCUGAUUUGGUUAAAAUCAACCCAAAGGACCAAAAGCCCUUCAUUUGGAAGCAGCAAGAAGGGGGUUUUUCACAAUCUCAACGAACUGCUUCAGUGUCCGAGUUCCACUUCAUAGAAACAUUGCUUGGUGCAUGCGAACCUCUAGGUAAAGAUGGAGCUCUACGAAUCUCUUAAAAUAUUAAUUUUGACAAAUACUUACUGAACUCAAGCAUCACCCUGUGCAAUAGGCAUUAUUUUUCUAGGUCCUGAAGAAGGCUAAAACCUAAGAAAAUGGGGAUCUAUAAGAGAAGAAAAGACAGGAGUGUCCAGACACGGAAAAGGAAGAAUCAUUCUUUCAUCACGGCACUGUGUGGCAGUCCCUGAGAGAGGAUCCGAGGCUGUCAUCAUGUAAACAGAGCGAUUGAUUCUCCUGCCGAGCAACUUACUUCUGCCGUUCUCCAGCAGCUGCAGAAUCUCACAACAAAUAUUAAUGACUUCUGGACUAUUUUUUUUUGCAGUUGGACUAUUUUAAAUUAGGGGUGGAGAGAAAAGAAUAUGAGGGGAAUAAAGCUCUAGUUUUUUUUACCUCCCUAGCGUGUCCUCAGAGCUUAAUAACUAACAAGACCUCCAGUUUUAGCAUCACCUGCUGAUGCUGUCAGUUGUGAAAAUUUUUGUAUUUCCCAGGAACUGAAGAGCACUGUCCGUGUUGUCAGUGCUGAAACAAGGCCCCAGCAAGCUGUCCAUUCUUUUGUGCCUUCACAAAUCUUAGGAGGAGUUUUAGCCUCUGCCACUUGUUACUUUGCAGUGAGUCAGGAAUAUGAGAAUCCCUGGCACUUUGGAGAUUUAAUUCAAACAAUUGAGUUUGACUUAAGAGUUGCCAGUCUCUCUUGGAGGCGCUGCUACCAUUAUCAACACCUCCGAAGACUCAGAGCUGGGUUCCUAUAAUAUUUUCCAGAGGGCCAAGUAAUAUGCCAGUGCAAUCGAGAUUGCUACUCCAAGUAGUAAGAAUAAGCUGUCAUUAUUUUUUGAGCAUUCCCCUCACUCUGACACAAUACAGCUUUGUAAGUUGAACUCAUUGGUAAGUGGGCACUACUUUUGAGAUUUUUUCUGAAGCUCUCAUUACAUAAAACAUUUAUUUUUACUGCUUCAGGGAAUAACAUUGAAGUCAUCAGCUGUAGCCUCGGCAUGUGUGCCAAAUUCCGGACCGUCCUAGGAGACUGGGAGGAACGAUGGAGGGUGGGGCACAAGCAGGUUUACAGUUGUCCAUAUGGAGAAUACUGCAACAAUUAAUAAAUAAUAACACCAGAAUAAACUCUGUUUUUACUCACAACUGUAAACAUGCUUUUUAAAAUAAAAUAAAAUUGUGUUUUUAUUUGCUCAGAAUGUUUAUCUUUAAACUUAGCUGGAAUUAAAAAUGAUCUGUGUGCCAAUAAAGUUAACAUCCAAAACUGUGAAAU